UACGUAGGGAGCAAGCGUUGUCCGGAAUCAUUGGGCGUAAAGCGCGCGUAGGUGGCCUCGUAAGUCCGCUGUGAAAGUCAAAGGCUCAACCUUUGAAAGCCGGUGGAUACUGUGAGGCUAGAGUACGGAAGAGGCGAGUGGAAUUCCUGGUGUAGCGGUGGAAUGCGCAGAUAUCAGGAGGAACACCAAUAGCGAAGGCGGCACUCUGGGCCGAUUCUGACACUGAGGAGUGAAAGCGUGGGGAGCGAACAGG
rnacentral:rRNA from 1 species